rnacentral:rRNA from 1 species
GACGAACGCUGGCGGCGUGCUUAACGCAUGCAAGUCGAACGGAAAGGCCCUGCUUUUGUGGGGUGCUCGAGUGGCGAACGGGUGAGUAACACGUGAGUAACCUGCCCUUGACUUUGGGAUAACUUCAGGAAACUGGGGCUAAUACCGGAUAGGAGCUCCUGCUGCAUGGUGGGGGUUGGAAAGUUUCGGCGGUUGGGGAUGGACUCGCGGCUUAUCAGCUUGUUGGUGGGGUAGUGGCUUACCAAGGCUUUGACGGGUAGCCGGCCUGAGAGGGUGACCGGCCACAUUGGGACUGAGAGACGGCCCAGACUCCUACGGGAGGCAGCAGUGGGGAAUAUUGCACAAUGGGCGGAAGCCUGAUGCAGCAACGCCGCGUGCGGGAUGACGGCCUUCGGGUUGUAAACCGCUUUCGCCUGUGACGAAGCGUGAGUGACGGUAAUGGGUAAAGAAGCACCGGCUAACUACGUG